GUUAAAUUUGCAUAAUUGAUUAUCGUGGAAAAUUAAUAAGUGGCAAGAUAUUUGUUUAUCAGUUCGCAGUGGCUUAAUCUCCACAGGGUAUCAGUUACGCAAAUUUUGUUAAUUGAUACGGCAUAGAGCUGACUUCCCUACAUCUCUACAUGAACUCGUCUUAUAAAUAGACGAUACUGCAUAUCUGCAAACACACGGCAUUCCAAUCAUUCCGUCUUCCGACAUCACUUUCACUUUUACGACCGACGGCAACCUCCAAGCUUCAAAAUGGUAAGUUAGCUUUUUAUUUCAACAUCUUAACAUUUAGUUUGUUUUUGAAAGCAUUUGUUUGAAUAUUUAUUGCUUUUUAUUCAAUUUUGCUCGACUUUCACAAAAAUACUAGCUCACUAAAUAAGGAUUUUACAAGUCUACGACGUGUAUUAAUAGAAAACAUUUAACUUGUUUCAUAAUUUAUUUGCAAACGCAUUCAGAGUACAUCUAUAGCAAAGAUUGAUCUUCUAAAUAUGAUUGUUACUUUUUAUUUCAUAUUUCUUUCCUUAUUUUAAACAUUUUAUUUUUAUAUUUUUUUCAGUCGAAGUUAUCAAAAGGCGAGAUCG
rnacentral:lncRNA from 1 species